AUCAAUAUAACUCGGGGAAAAUCUCAGAAAGGUGGGGGACUGGAUCUGUGAAAACCAGAAGACUAGGAUGGUGUCUUCUCCAUCUGUCAGGGAAGCUACACCCACUGACUCGCAACAAUACAGUUAGCUCCGCAACGACAACAUCAACUGACAAGCCAAAAAUAGACAGAUGAUGCUCCUGACGCCUCAUUCGAUGUGGAAUUGGAUGAAGAUGAAUUGGGUGAAUCCUUUCUCGUAUGUCGUAUAAGGUGUGCUCGCAAUGAGGCACUAUACUGAAACUGUUUUUUACAUAACUAAAAAAGAAAAAUGAAAGUUCUUCCUAUAUAAAAUGUUAAGUGAAAAUUCA